rnacentral:rRNA from 1 species
UACAGAGGUCCCAAGCGUUGUUCGGAUUCACUGGGCGUAAAGGGUGCGUAGGUGGUGAGGUAAGUCGGAUGUGAAAGCUCGGAGCUCAACUCCGAAAUGGCAUUGGAAACUACCUUGCUCGAGGGUUGGAGGGGGGGGACUGGAAUACUUGGUGUAGCAGUGAAAUGCGUAGAUAUCAAGUGGAACACCAGUGGCGAAGGCGAGUCCCUGGACAACUCCUGACACUGAGGCACGAAAGCUAGGGGAGCAAACAGG